AAUUUAGUAAACUUAUCAGGCAAGACCACAACCGAUAUUAAGUACUUAAUAGCUAAAGGAAUGUAAAUCUCAGGUUAAAACAAAGAAUGGAACGGAUUCACCGAUGUUAUGAAAUAUGAAUACGUUGUACAAGAUAAAUUCGGUGACACGGUGCCGGAGUCGGCCUCUGUUUCCCCUUUUGAUGACAUCACAUUACCAUGUAGAGGGCUUUCUGAUCAUCACUCUCCCGCCUUCCAAGACUACGAAAACAUAAGCACGUCAAAACAAAAACGGAUGGAUUGUAAAUAUACAUCUUCAAUCACGUUAUACACUAAACAAUGUCCUAAAAUGCUUUAAAACACAGAACAAGUUGUUUCUCGUAAGAAUGGCGAGGUGACCCAUUUACGAAAACAUACGAAUUAUCUACUCACGUUAUAUUACUUUUUAACCACUAUCUGUCGUAUUUAAUGUUUAAUUCCAUAUUCCACGUAUUGUAUAACUAGUUAAGUCGCUAAAACACACGGUAAUAAAUCACAAACUCACGUUAGCUUGAUACGUCGACAACCAGAACAGCGGUAUUUUAGGGAGAGAUCGCUAUGUGGCCUAAUUCAAUGCUUGAGUUCGAUGCACAAAAUACGUGUUACGCGUAUAACUGUAAAUGCAUAAAUAAGUGGAUCCCCGUUGAACUUGCGUUAUUUUAGCUUUGAUAUGCAAUGUAUGUAUUUACUAAGCUCUAAGAAGGAAUUUCUUAAUGAAAUUAAAAACUUUUAACCAAAACCAUUUUGAUAAAAAACCGAACACCUGUAAAGUGUUUUUUUUUUCUUCACUUUGAUUAUUGAAUGUGGCAACAAUAAAUACUUAAUGACGUCAUGAAA